rnacentral:rRNA from 1 species
UACAGAGGUGGCGAGCGUUAUUCGGAAUUAUUGGGCGUAAAGGGCGCGUAGGCGGCUUGACAAGUCCCGGGUGAAAUCCCUCGGCUCAACCGAGGAACUGCCUUGGAAACUGUCUGGCUUGAGGCCGGGAGAGGGUAGUGGAAUUCCCAGUGUAGCGGUGAAGUGCGUAGAUACUGGGAGGAACACCGGUGGCGAAGGCGGCUACCUGGACCGGUUCUGACGCUGAGGCGCGAAAGCGUGGGUAGCAAACAGG